rnacentral:rRNA from 1 species
GCGAGGCAAAGACCGCGAGGCAGAGCGAAUCGCUAAAAGACCGUCCCAGUUCGGAUUGCAGGCUGCAACCCGCCUGCAUGAAGUUGGAAUCGCUAGUAAUCGCGGAUCAGCAUGCCGCGGUGAAUACGUUCCUGGGCCUUGUACACACCGCCCGUCAAGCCAUGGGAGCCGGGGGCGCCUGAAGUCCGGGACCGCGAGGACCGGCCUAGGGCGAAACUGGUAACUGGGGCUAAGUCGUAACAAGGUAUC